CUCCAUACUGGUUUCCACAGUGUUUGCACCAAGCUUGCAUUCCCACCAAAGUGCUGGAGGUUUCCUUUUUCUCCACUCUUCAUGAAAACCACAAAGAGGACUAGAAGCAACCUGACAGUUUGUACUCUAAGGUGUUUCUCAACCAGAAUUAAGCUCCUUGAGAGAAAAACCUUUUAUCUGUUUUGUUCAUAAGUGUUCAAACAGCAUCUAGAGAGCUUGGCACAUAGUAGAGACUCAAUAAAGAUUUAUGGAAUGAAGAAUGAAUGAAGAAGGAAUGAGUGAAGUAUGUCCCAACCUGGCUUUGCCUUACUACUGUGAUAAAUCCCACUGGUCCUCAAUUGGAAAACCUGAGCUGGUACAUUGGAAUCAUCUUUCUUUUUGUGAAGAGAGGUUCAAAUUUUUUAAAGAUUUAUUUAUUUAUUUGAGAGAGAGAGAGAAAGAGAGAGAGAGAGAGGAGAGGGGCUGAAGAAGAGGGAGAAAGAAUCUGAAACAGUCUCAGCACUGAGCGUGGAGCCUGAUGUGGGGCUCCAUCCAACUACCAUGAGAUCAUGAUCUGAGCCAAAAGGAGAAGUUCAAUUCUUUCAGAAAUUCUGGGUCUAAGAAGGAUGCCUUAAGAAACUUCCUGCUUCUGAACAAACAAAAGCAGAAAUAGAUCCAUAAACACAGAGAACAAAUAGAUGACUACCAGAGGCAAAGGGCAAAAUGGGUGCAGGGGGAAGAAAAAGAAAAUUAUCUUCCUUGGAAUGAAGGGAUUAGAACUCCUAAUGAAAUUUCAACUCCUAAUGAAGUAACGGUCAUCAGUGGUUACUAAUGCUAUUUGUUGAAAGGCUGAUGGGAUCAUUAUAGUUUCAGGAUCACCUGACAGCACAGGAACCCACUGAUCAAUCUCAACAUCGUUAAAAAUUGGAACAACUUUAUGUGCUUAAUGUUGUGAUGUAAUAGGAAGGCACACAACACCACUUAUACCGCUGAUAAAAUCAUCUUGCCCUAGCAAGAAACUGAACAUAAUCUAAUUAACUCUCUAGAUUUAACUACCUGUUUAGAAGGAGAUAUGGGUAACAGGAGACCUUGAAUGGCAUCACAAGGAUACAAUGAACCACUUGAAGCUGCAGAAAAUGUUACAGGAUAAAUAAUUUAGUUUCUUCAACAAAUGAGUGCUCCCCAACAGGUAGGAAGAGCUGUCACAGGCUAAAAGGCUCACCAGUUGCAAUGUCUGGACCUUGUUUGGAUCUUGAUUUCAGUGAAGGAGGUAUAACAAAAGAUAUUUUAAUAUGAUUGGAGGAAUUCAAGUAUGGCUUGGUUAUUAAGUGAUACCAUGAAAUUGUGGUUAAAUUUGUUGGGUAAGAAUGAUAGAACUGUUGUGUUAAAAAAAAUGAUACAACAAACCUCCUUAUCUAUUGGAUAUAAAUACUGCUGCCUUCAGGGAGAGAUGACAUAUGUCUGAGAUUUUUUCAAAAUACAGUUUCCCUCACCCCCACACACUCCCAGAAACAUCUAAACUAAAAGAAAUGACGAGAAGCUAUGUGUGUGUGUAUAUGGUACGGGGUGCAGGUGAGGGUGAUGGGACGAGAAUGAGAGAAUAUUGGUAAUUGUUCAAGCUGGGUGAUAGGUCCAUGGAGCCACAUCCCCAUUAUACAAUGUCGUUCACUUUUGUGUAUGAAAAUUUCUACCACAAGAAGCUUUUUAAAAGUCCUCCUUGUCCCUUCUUAACUAGGGAUUCCAAGAAACAGGAAAGUUGAAUCUCAUCAGCAGAUCCUUACAAUACUGAACUUGUCCUGUUUUCACUAUGGACUGUUGGAGACCGGGACAUUCUGCAGUGCCUUUCAGAUUUGAACUCCCCUUAGUUCGGGGGGGAUUCCUGGUAUCAGUGACUUCUGGAGUUUACCUCAUUCCCGCACACCAGUACUCCUGCAGGAUCAUGGCCACUGCCUCGAAAAGAGGUGUCUCUCAUUUUAGAUUGAAAUCAGGAGGAUCCAGAUGGGUUGCCGCUUAUAACUGGUAUACAUUUCAGCCCACAAGCAGAGGUACGCAAGAAAUAGCACAAAAUUGUUUUUGUAACUCCACUUAAUUUGUAUUUUAAGCCUUGAUCCCGCUGGUGUCCUGUUUGGAUUUCCACCCAUCCCUGUUUGGAAAUGAUACUGAGCCACAGCUAAUGAAGGUUGAGGCGAGAGCAUGGUUACUAUUUAUUGGAGUACCCAGGUAUAGCUUAGAUGUCCAUCAGCUUGGUUGUCAUGUCUCCUUGAGAUUUGGUGGCUCUUGUGUCCUGUGUGGGACAGGUCACCAUGAUUUUGCUUGUAUGCACAGUACAGCCAUUUCCUCUUGGAGCUAUUGCCACAUCUUUUUGUCACCUCUAACUACACUUUGGAGACUCCUGGCCACUGGUCCACAGAGCUCUCUCUGACAAUCGGUACCUCUCCACAAUCUAGUAGGUAAAGAAGACAGGAAGUACUUCAUUUCAAGAAUCCUGCUUCUGUUAGGUUUCUGCCCAAGUAUCCUCUCUGUACAGCAGUUGGGGAUUUUAGAAAUAAAAGCCAAAAGCAUAAGCAUGAUAUUGCUGCUUUUAGCCUGCCAUGGCCCUCCUCUGGCCAGUAUAGACAGAGUCUGCUACCCACUUGAAUGCAGAAGAGAAGGGUAGAAAAUAACAGGAGAAAGGAAAAACAAUCAAACAGGAGCAGAUUAGCAUCUCAAAAUAUCCUACCACUCUUAAGAAGAUGUGAGUUGAAUUCACGGGAGAGGUUCCAUGGGGAAGAGACCCUAUUUUUUGAAAAUGGGCUCUGUGCAUCUGCAAAGACUGUGUGGGAUCCAGGUCUCCAGAAUGCUCUGAUGUCAUCGGUCAGGUCAUAGAACCCCUCCCGCUGUGGGCCUGGUGACCUUUGAACCUUAACAGCCCUGUGCUGGGGGGAGCACUGGGCAGUGCUGCUGGUUCUCUAAGUGGUCUGAGUUCCUCAGCCAUUUAGAAGACUCGAUGAUUUUUAUAUAUAUUGGGUCACCUCAACAAAUUUCCUGAGAGUCAAGAAGGGCCAGCCAGUAGGGAAAAGGAGGAACUGGGUGUUACGCAUCUUCUAAGCAACUCCUGUAGCUGGUACCAUGAAACAGCGACAAAAGAGGAAACAUCUGGAAAAUGAAGAGUCCUCAGGAACUGCCAAGCAGGGAGGAGGAGUCUCGAAGUCACAGGAGGAUGCCCCUCAGGUUGAAUCAACUGGGGAGGCUAAAGGCUGGGGCGCAGGGGUAGAGGAGGUAUCCUCUGCCUCCGAAUACUUCUCCUGUGUUUCUUCUCCACUCGAGCUCAUCCAUAGUGGACUCUGGAGAGUACAUCGAGACAGUCCCCAGCCUAGAUCACCCCUAGCCCAGGUUCAGGAACGAGGGGAGACUGCUCCCCCCUCACACCAUGUCUCCUCGUCCCCUUCGUCUUAUAAGACCUGUGUGUCCUCUCUGUACAUAAACAAAAAAGAAAGGGGCAUGAAAAUAUACUACAUGCAGGUCCAGAUGAGAAAGGGUGUGGCUGUCUCCUGGGAGACAGAGGAGACCUCAGAGUCCGUAGAAAAGCAGCCCAGGCUGGAAGAAGUGACCCUUCCUGAGGCCGUGCGGGGCCCGGCGGCGGCGGCCGUGGGCCGGGAGCGCCCAGGAGGAGGCGGAGCCGAGUGAGGCGGCGCGGCCAGGCCCGAGGGGAAGGCCCCGGAAGACCUCGGCUCCCAGCGACCCUGGAGCCGGUGCCCGGGCUGCGGGUUUCAUUCUCCGAAGGACAAGAACGAUUGAGAUUCAUGAGCCAGAAGAUCCCAGAAGAUGGUGUGGCCUUCUCUUGGGAGAGGGAGAAAAAGAGACCACGGGGAGAGUAGCAGACAGGAUGCCUAUGAUGUGAAGCAAGAUGAAGGAAGCGGCACUUGGUUUAGCAUCAAUAUCAUAUGCAAUAAAGGCUGUUUCCAAACCUCUCCAGCAUAUAUUCUUGAAUGAAAAUGAUCUAUCCAUCUACCCCCCCACCUCCUGCCCCAUUUACAUCUGUCUCUCUAGUGGCUUACGCACUAGGUUUCAUAGAAGCACCUACAAUCCUUUUCCAGAAGUGGUAGUCCUCAUGCGCCUGGGAUUGAGAAGGCUUCUACGUGACAAUUUCCACAAGGCUGGUUUCCACAUCACACAUGAGACCAGGACAGAUACGUCGAGUUCAGACGAGGUCAUUGGACGCUGUCAUCCCUGAACUUCAUCGCCACCCCACUGCUACCAGUCCCUGGAACUACAGAUAUCUAGGAGGCACUGAAGACUCGUUUCAAUGCACAAGGCUGUCCAUGGAGUGAAAGGCAUUCUUGGAUAAGUGGAUGGUUUCCAUCCUUUCUCUAGAGCCAACAGUAUUUUGUAGAGCCUUCCAGGCUUCUGACAGUCACGAAGGGCCGGGUUGUUGGAAGGAUUGCCACCUGCCAGCAGGCUACCUCCAGCCAGUAACUUGAAGCACGAAGUAAAAUCACCUCCAAAUGGGAAGAACUAAGGAGGCAGAAGAAAUCAUCUCAGGACCUGAAAAGGAGUCUGGUGCCUGCAAUAGCUGAAUGGAAAUAGCAGCUAGAAAAAAAAGAGAAGAUAAGGGAUUCUGGGGCAGGAUGCUGGAAGCAUGUAACAGCUAAGGGCCUUUCCAACUCCUGGGCCUUUCUACUUUGUCCUCUUCCUGACAUCCAACCUCGUGAGAAAGAAAAUGUAUUCUAGAGACCUUUGGUCAAAUUCCCUUGUAUGGACCCUUCCCAUACAAUGUUUAUCUUCUUUUGUUCUCUCGAGAAAAAGAUUAAGUUAACAACUGUGAUGAUUAAAGAGGAGUGCCACCUGAGGAGAUGUGCAUAUACCACAGGUUGUGAGAAAUGGGGACAUGUGCUAACUUAUACAUUCUUCAAAGAAGCAUCUCUGGACCAGACCUGUGCUGGUCCCAUAUUCAGUGCAGGUUCCUGGAACAGCGAGGGACCUGCCUCUUAGGCUUGCUUCAAAUUAGGCAAUGGAGUUAUGAUUGGACUUUGUCAUAGGAAACCUUUUCUGCUUCCAAAGAAGUUAUAAAAAAGUCAGAACAUUUCUCCUUAAAACUGAUUACUGAAUUCUUUAUUUAUCUAAGACCCUCUCUUCUACCAGUGUGUGUGUGUGUUUAUGUGAGAAGUGUGUGUGUGUGUGGGAGAGAUAGAGAGAGAGAGAGAGAGAGAGAGAGAGAGAGAACAAGAUCCAGGUCUGCUCAGACAUUGAAGAAGCAAUCUUAAAAUCACAAAGAUAAAUUCAGUAUGUCUCUGUGAAUUAAGUUCAGUACAUUUUUAGGUCUAGCCUGGUCUGUCUCUUGGUAUAAAAUAUUUACCUCACUUUAUUUUAUUUUAUUAUUAUUAUUUUUUACCCCACUUUAUUUUAAAAGAAGAAAACUGAUGCCUGGCUCAGGGAAGGGAGCCACUCCUGAAAGCCUCCUUUGUUUUACUUUUAAGGGAAGUAAGAAGAUACUUCUGUAGAAGUAGUUUUAGGAUAUGAAGGAAGCCUCUAGUCAUGCUAAUGAAAAAUCUAUGAUUCUUUCAAGCACAGAUGCAAUGAAAGGUUUCUUUUUCUCAUUGUACAUGUGUGUUCCUAUGUCAACAUUCAGAUUAACAAUUAUGUGUCACAGUCACCUAUGUGAUAAAGGGUUAGUAUUCAAAAUCUGUAAAGAACUUAUCAAACUCAAACCCCCAAAUCAAUCCAGUUAAGAAAUGGGCAGGAGACCUGAAAAGACAUUUUUCCAAAGAAGAC